UAACUGUCCAUGCUAUUGGGUGGAACCAACGGAAGCAAGAAGGCCUUCAGCAUUAUCCAGCAGAUACAUCAAGAAAGGCUGAGUCUCAGAGACGGGAAGAUUUGAGCAGUGAACUGGGGUGUCCUGAGAACAUUGUGAAUCAGUGGGUACAAGAUGUCAGACAAAAGGCUACUGAUGGAUUUGGUAGGUACCAGAUGUGAUGACCUACACAACCUUCAGAAAUGAAUUGAACAAAUGUUUCUUAGUCUUCAUCGAAAAGCCAGCCUUUAUAUUCACACUGAAUCCAGCAACACCCUCACCAAGAAGAUUUCAAAAGUGCGCCUUCAAGAAGCAAAGAUCAUUGUGAUGAGGGAGAUGAGACACCACUGCACCGCACCUAUCUCAGAAGCCUGGCUAGGAACAUCAGGAAAAUGAUAUCAGAAAUGUCUUCAGGCAAAAACAGUGGCAGUUUAAGUGAAGAGUGUCAUCGCUGGCUACUGUGUCGUCUUCAGAAAAGGCUUGCAGAUGUAGAGAAGUUCCAAGUUUGCUCAAGUUACAGCCAGGCUUUAGGACAGUGUUCUUCACUCCCAACCCCGGAGAGCCGGUGUCCUGCAGACUUUAGCUCCAACCUUAAUCAAACACAUCUGAAAGCUAAUCAAUGUCUUCAUGAUCUCUAGAAAAUCACAGGUACGUGUGUUUGAUUAAGGUUGGAGCUAAGCUCCGCAGGACACCGGCUCUCCAGGAUUGGGAGUGAAGAACACUGCUUUAGGACCAAAUGCUGUUUCUCUGCUGGAGGAUGAGCCUGAGGAGAUACUGGAGGACCACAAAGAGCUGGAUUAUGAGAGUUCAGAUGACAUUUUGGAUUUGGAACUCUGAACUGGUGUAUGCAUUUAGACUGUGUGUCACACUGAACUGCAGGUGUGUUUCAUGGAAAACAUAAAACUAUUUGGAAAUGUAAUGGAUGUCUGAUACAGUGCUUUUAUUUUAGACAACCGUUUCCUGCAGUCUGUAAGCAACAUUAGCCUCAUAGAUUGAUGGGAAACUACUGUUAAAUAAGUUUUUGUAUGAUAAUCCAUAUCUCCGUUUACAAGCAGCAGGUUAGCUAUUAGGUUUCCCCUCCACCUCCGAUGUUUCACAGACUACUCCUACAGUCAACUGUGUUGCUACAACUUGCAAAUGCCACAAUCCUCUUGCAGUGGUUACUUCACCAAACUGUGCCCAUAUCAUCUUGUCAACAUAAUGACAUUUACUGUAGAAAAAUGUGCAAAUCUAUUUUGCCUGUGUUACAUAUGUUACUAUUAUUGUUAUAUAGUUUUAUACUGUAUCAAGUUUUUUUCACAGUGAUUGUGGAUACUUUUGGAGUGAACUAACUGUAUGUCAUAAGAUGAAAUACUUUACAUAAAUGACUGAUCAAUAACCUACCCAUAUUUGAUGCAUGAGUUAAUACUGUUGUUACCUUUUCAAUGAAAGGAAAUGUUUUACAAUGUCAUUUUCUUGAGGUAAUUAUUAAACUGUUUCAUAUAUGUACCUGCAAAAUUGUUUACUUUUCCCUGUUUUGAAAAAGAGAUGUAAAACUGCUUUAUUUAUUUAUGCCUUAAAAAUAUAUGAUAGUUUAAUACAGGGUAAAUAUUAAUAAAAACGUGUUAAUUAGUUAGUAUAUACAGUUGUGUUGUAUUAUUUAUGGCAUAGUUGUUAUAAUUAAUACAAGUUUUUCAUUACACUGCUGCAUAACUUUGCUCUAGAUAAUAGUAGGGUAUUAAUACUAGACAGUUCAAAGAUGAUUAACUUUUAAGUUAUGUAUACUAUAAAUACAUAUAUUUACAUAUAGUAUGUGUGAAUGCUUUUGGUCUUUGAUUAAAUGCUUGUCAGCACGGGAAAAUGCUUUGUAAAUAAAGUUAUUUUUAUUA